AUGCUGGUAUCCUCUGGAAGAGAUUUGAUUUUGGGAGCUAGAAGCAAUGAUAAAAAAAGAAAGGAAUUAAUUAAUACCAUGUCACUUCUCUACUUGUCAUUUAAAGCAGAAGAACAACAAACUCAAGACUAUACUAAUUCUAGAUACAGUACACUAUAUGGGCAAGGGAAAUGCAUCUCACCUUUGCCGCCACCAUGAAUAAGAGCGCUCAUUGAGGAGCCAUGAGUUGACAUCAUUUCACUGGACAUUUCCGUGAUACUGCUGAAGCUCAUGGAUACCAUUGAUUCAGAUGUUAUGGCGGAUGUGCUAGCAGCAGACAUGCUUUCAAAUUGGCUUUGGAAAGAGCCUUCUUGCGUCAUUGAUGCUUCAGCCAUAUGGACUGAUGUGGCUGAGAAAGUGUCACUGUGCAAGCUGGCAGCAGCAGCACUUUGCUCCUUUAUAACCAUUUUGGCAGGUUCUUGAACAAGAGCUGUGCGAACAACGCAAAUGAUGAAGUACAUGGCUAAAUGGUCAAUUCUCAAUGGAGAUACUCAAGACCAUCUGUAUGAAUAUAAACAAAUAACACAUGGAAAAUGAAAUCUUAGUCUUUAAUUUAAGCUGUUAGUAAAAUGUACCGACUCAAGUUGAAUUUUUCAUAAAUAUUGGGAAAGCUUUGCUUUGUACUGUAAGCUUUGCAAUGUACUGUAAGCUUUUAAUUAAACAAUGUAUUGAUAACUUACUGGUGAUGUUGAGAGAUGAUGUUCCAGAGCACUGUCCAUAUUUGUUUUUGGCUUUGAUGGUGUAUUUGCCCCUGUCUGCAACUGUGGCCUAAAUAAUCUCCAGAGUGUAUACACUUUUUGAACAGCUCAGUUUCCUGUUUGAGGUUGUAGAUACCUGUAAGGAGAGAGACCGAAUUAAAGUAUUAGUUUGUGUUUUUUAUUAUUCAAGUAUCUAGUGAUAUUUGUAACCGGACUUGCUUUUUCUGAUUGCCCCUGAUGGGAUGAAUACAGUUCUGUUGUAUUGAAUUUAAGAAAUCAAAUCAAACAUUAUUUACAAAACUCUUUGUAGCCUACU
rnacentral:lncRNA from 13 species